rnacentral:rRNA from 1 species
UGGGGAAUUUUGCACAAUGGGGGAAACCCUGAUGCAGCGACGCCGCGUGAUUUAGAAGGCCUUCGGGUUGUAAAAAUCUUUUCUAUGGGAAGAAAAUGACAGUACCAUAGGAAUAAGGACCGGCUAAUUACGUGCCAGCAGCCGCGGUAAUACGUAAGGUCCAAGCGUUGUCCGGAAUCAUUGGGCGUAAAGGGUACGUAGGCGGGUAAGCAAGUUAGAAGUGAAAUCCUAUAGCUCAACUAUAGUAAGCUUUUAAAACUGCUCAUCUUGAGGUAUGGAAGGGAAAGUGGAAUUCCUAGUGUAGCGGUGAAAUGCGCAGAUAUUAGGAGGAAUACCGGUGGCGAAGGCGACUUUCUGGCCAUAACCUGACGCUGAGGUACGAAAGCGUGGGUAGCAAACAGG